rnacentral:rRNA from 1 species
UACGGAGGAUGCGAACGUUAUCCGGAUUUAUUGGGUUUAAAGGGUGCGUAGGCGGAUCGUUAAGUCAGUGGUCAAAUUGAGGGGCUCAACCCCUUCCCGCCAUUGAAACUGGCGAUCUUGAGUGGAAGAGAAGUAUGCGGAAUGCGUGGUGUAGCGGUGAAAUGCAUAGAUAUCACGCAGAACCCCGAUUGCGAAGGCAGCAUGCCGGCUUCCUACUGACGCUGAAGCACGAAAGCGUGGGGAUCGAACAGG